rnacentral:lncRNA from 1 species
CACAUUAGGAUACGUACUAAUCCCCGACAUGAUAUAUCAAUGUAAAUCACAAACUCUUCAAACGCAGCUGAAAGAGAAAAUAUUAAUGCACAAAUUCAUCAAUCCUCUAGCUCAUCAAAGCUCUUUUAACAUGCUUCAGUCCCAUGAAAAUUAUUGCAGUAGGAGUACACUAUUCAAAAGAUCCCAAUAAAAAUCCAGCUGAAGAAAUAGUCGAUCAAAUUGACGACCCAAAAAACAUAUCAUUUUAUAAUAUUCAGGAAUGUGACCACCAUGUCCCCUCAUCUCAUGUUUUCUUUAUUCUCUCCAUUUAGAACAUAUUUCAUUGAUCUAAUAUUCUUUUAUCAUAUCGCGAAUUUUUUUUGCUUUUCCUUAUAAUUAGAUUGUCUUCAAUUUUCUACACACUAAAGAGAAAAUUAAAGCCAAUCAAUCAUAUACGUGAUAUAAUCAAUGCUUCAAUUAUUGAUUGUGUCUAUGCAUGUGCCUUAUCCUUCCAUGAUCUAUAAAGUAGUAAAUUUCCCAAGAAUUCUAAAUAUAUACAUCAACUUUUAUUUCUUUAAAAUAAUCAAGACUCCUUAAAUAAUGCUAUCUCAAAAUACCGUAAUCACCCCAUUUGCCAGCUUCUAUUAUAUAAAACAUAUACAAGAGACUUCCUUUGAAAUACCCAUAAAACAAUUUAAUAAUUACACAAUAGUGAUCAUAUAGUCAAUCAAUUCAAAUAUUUACGAAUAAACAAUCUAUAAAAUCAUCAAAACUCUUACUUUGGAUUGGUGAUCUAUGCAAAAUUGUACUCAAAUUAUACAUACACCAUAGUAUUAGUUCAACUACUAAUAAUAUAUCCAACCAUCGGAUCUUUGCAACCGUCAUAUUUACAUUCUAGCCAUUUACGAAUCUACUAAACAUGUUCUUAUAUCGUUGAGGUUCCAUACAUCUUGCAGCAAGAGCUGGGAGCCUGUGAUUUCUACCACUACGACAUGCGACCACACACAUUGAAUAUGCAUGAUAUGCUAAUGCGGGAACUACGAAAAAAAUUCAGAACUCCAUCACCAUGCUCUGAUACCAAUUGACACGAUUCAUCCCGAAUCACCCUAAUACACCCGAACGUGUCAUGCGCCAAUGGUAGAUACCAACUAAGUGCUAGACCUACCAUCAAGGCGAACUUGACCUACUUUGACUAUAACAUAUUUAUAUAAAAAUUGACAGAAUUUCCUUUAAAAUAUGGACUAAAUCACCUAAACAAACAUCAACUUUAUCAAAAUUGUACAUAUAAUUUAAAAUAUAACACGCUAGUCCUUCAAAAUACAAACUAUUCAAGACAUUUAUCAUAUUUUAUAAACAAAAGACCCCAAAAGCAAUGAGAAUACUAAAUAUGCAGUGAAUCCAUGGUAUGGAUCUAUAAAUUACCAAUUAACGUUUCAGUCAAAACAUACAUGUAUCCUAAAAAUUUUGAACUAUAUAAAUUGACGAAAUAAGUCAUACAUUUAAGGACAAUGUGUGUGUGUGUGGCACUCUCGGUGGAUCAAUAGGCUCUAAGGCUGCAUAGCUGCUAUCUGCUAAGAAAAAAAAGUAACAAAAUAUGAGUUUGUAACUCAGUGAGUGGAUAAAUUAAAAAUAAGUAUACUUUUUUAUAUAUGCAUAAUUCUUGUUCUAUUAAACCUUUGAGAAAUUCAGAAAUUUAGUAACACUUUUAAAAUUGACAUAAUUGGAUCAUAAAAUUCUUUAUUCUUCN